ACAUGUUUUUCUCUAACAGAAAAAGGAAGUCAAGUCACAUUAAUAUCUUCAUAAUAAUUAAACAACACGUACAACUUAGCAGACUGACAGAUAAAGAAGCAGCCUGUGUCAGGCUGAUUACCAAAUCUCCAUACAUAGUCCCCUCUAGAUAUCACUUAUUAUUUCUAUUGUAAAUUAUUUAUAAAGAUCACUUUUAGGGUUUAAGUGGUCAUGUCAAAGGCACCAUUUACAAGCCACAAGUUAAAAUAAGGUAUUAAUAAUAAAUUAAAAGCACCACACCAACAUCUCAUGUAUCAAAACUGCAACCAAUUGAUCACAAGUGGCUGAAAAACUCAUUAUUACUUUAUGUCAAGAAGGUGUUUUUGCCACAGAGCUGUCUGCCCCUCCCAUACUCUACCCAAUUAACAGGCUUUAAUUUAAUCAAUGGCAGAUGUCCAAACCUGGGUCACUUAAGCCUUGCUUCCCCAUGAAUGAGAGUAGAAUGAAGCAGCUGAGACUGGGCCAAUGCAUCUCUUUUGUUUCAGGAUGUGCUUCAUGGGCCUAUGCUUCAGUGGUUUAUCUUGGCUGGCCCUUCCUUAAUGGCUUUCGGUCACGGACUGCUUGCCUGAUGCUCUGACACUGCUGUUUACUCUACUCUUUCAAGUCCUCCUGAUUUGCAUGAGUUGUAUCACCCUCUCGUACUCAUAUUCUCUUCAUCUUUGUCUGUUUGUUUGCUUCUCAGUCCACUACUGUCCUGAUGCUGGCCUUUGCUAUGGGACCUGCUCUCUAGUGUCAAGAGGCCUUUUGCCACCUCUCCCUGGCACAUCACACCACAUGUAUACUUAAAGUGCUAAAUACAUUUUGAGUAAUUCAUGCCAUUUAUUUAAAACAUUCAAAGACCUCUAGGAGGUAAAUGAGCAUAAAGUUUAGCAAAACACUGGACAGAAUGACUACCAUGCAUAAAUUUUACUCUAAAACUUCCCUGCCAUAGUUUAAUGGUUUAUAGGCUCCCCUCUUUUUUAUGGUGCCAAGACAUGAGACAAUACAAAGAGUGAACCACUUUUAUUAUCAUGCUGUAUGAUAGUUCUCCUACUAUUCAUUGUUACAAUUUUUGUUUUCUAUAUGUCCACAUUUCUGGCCAUACAUAUACAUUAUCUCUUUUAUCCUCACAAAGACCAAUAUGCUACAAUAAUCCUACUUUGCAUAUAUCCAUAAACUAAAGAUUAGAGGAACUAGAUCCAAGAUCACUCAGGUAGAAAGUGGUAAACCUGGAUUCAAAGCUACG
rnacentral:lncRNA from 1 species